rnacentral:snRNA from 1 species
UGCUCAUUUCAGCAGCAAUAGACUAAAUUUUGAAUAAUACAGAGAAGAUUAGCUUGGCCUUUGCACAAGGAUGACACACAAAGUCAUGAAGCAUUUUCUAAAUGU